rnacentral:rRNA from 2 species
UGUGACCUCAAAUCAGGUAGGACUACCCGCUGAACUUAAGCAUAUCAAUAAGCGGAGGAAAAGAAACUAACAAGGAUUCCCCUAGUAACUGCGAGUGAAGCGGGAAAAGCUCAAAUUUAAAAUCUGGCAGUCUCUGGCUGUCCGAGUUGUAAUCUAGAGAAGUGUUAUCCGCGCUGGACCGUGUACAAGUCUCCUGGAAUGGAGCGUCAUAGAGGGUGAGAAUCCCGUCUUUGACACGGACUGCCAGGGCUUUGUGAUGCGCUCUCAAAGAGUCGAGUUGUUUGGGAAUGCAGCUCAAAAUGGGUGGUAAAUUCCAUCUAAAGCUAAAUAUUGGCGAGAGACCGAUAGCGAACAAGUACCGUGAGGGAAAGAUGAAAAGAACUUUGGAAAGAGAGUUAAACAGUACGUGAAAUUGCUGAAAGGGAAACGCUUGAAGUCAGUCGCGUUGGUCAGGGAUCAACCUUGCUUUUGCUAGGUGUACUUUCUGGUUGACGGGUCAGCAUCAAUUUUGAUCAUUGGAAAAAGAUUAGGGGAAUGUGGCAUCCUUGGAUGUGUUAUAGCCCUUGGUUGUAUACAAUGGUUGGGAUUGAGGAGCUCAGCACGCCGCAAGGCCGGG